rnacentral:sRNA from 1 species
UGGCCGUCCCUGCCAGCCUCGACGUUUCUGACAACUGGCUUCGGCCGGAGCCCCCUGGCCAGGAAGCCCGAGUGCAGAGCUGGAAGGAGGAGGAGAAGAAACCCCACCUUCAGGGCAAACCAGGGAGACCCUUGUCCCCGGCCAAUGUCCCUGCUCUGCCUGGCGAGACGGUGACCUCCCCAGUCAGGGUGAGUAGUGGUGGGGAGCCGGGCAGGGGCCUAGCCCUCCGGCAUCCUCACCGCUCCUCCGUUCCCAGCUGCACCCCGACUACCUCUCCCCGGAGGAGAUACAGAGGCAGCUGCAGGACAUCGAGAGGCGGCUGGACGCCCUGGAGCUCCGUGGCGUGGAGCUGGAGAAGCGACUGCGGGCGGCCGAGGGAGAUGACGCUGAGGAUAGCCUCAUGGUGGACUGGUUCUGGCUCAUUCACGAGAAGCAGCUUCUGCUGAGACAGGAGUCAGAGCUGAUGUACAAGUCCAAGGCCCAGCGUCUGGAGGAGCAGCAGCUGGACAUCGAGGGUGAGCUGCGCCGGCUCAUGGCCAAGCCCGAGGCUCUGAAGUCACUGCAGGAGCGGCGGCGGGAGCAGGAGCUGCUGGAGCGGUACGUGAGCACCGUGAACGACCGCAGUGACAUCGUGGACUCGCUGGACGAGGACCGGCUCCGGCCUCCAGAGGAAGAAGUCCAAGUUCGGCUUGUCCAAGAUCUGGUCACCAAAAAGCAAAAGCAAAAGCAGCCCCUCCCAGUAGUAGCCAGUAGGGCCGUGGGCUCGGCCCGGACCUGGCAUCCGGACUUGGACUCGGGGCCAUGGGCUUGGCCCGGACCCGGAACCCGGACUUGGACUCGGGGCCAUGGGCUCGGCCCGGACCCGGCAUUCGGACUUGGACUCGGGAAGGGCCUCCUGUCCCUACAAGGGGCAUGUGGACAGCAGGGACCUGCGCUACCGUCUGUGGUCUCAAUAAAGAAACCGACCACAUGG